rnacentral:ribozyme from 1 species
CUACAAUGUUUCAUGCAAUUUCAAAGGCAAAAACCAAAAAAUAUAGACACAAAAUAAAGUCAUAGCACAUUAAAUGGACAGUUUUCUUCCAAACGUCGUCAUUUUCUGAGUUUUCUUUUUCCUUUUGAUUUUUAU